rnacentral:rRNA from 1 species
CCAAUAGCGUAUAUUAAAGUUGUUGCAGUUAAAAAGCUCGUAGUUGAAUUUCGAGACCGGUUUACUGGUCGUGCUUUUGUACGUACUGGUAUUAUUGGUUUCUCCUUUCUGACGAACCAUAAUGCCAUUAAUUUGGUGUUUUGGGGAAUCAGGACUGUUACUUUGGAAAAAUUAGAGUGUUUAAAGCAGGCUCACGCUUGAAUACAUUAGCAUGGAAUAACGAAAUAGGACGUUUGAUUUUAUUUUGUUGGUUUCUAGGAUCGACGUAAUGAUUAAUAGGGAUAGUUGGGGGCAUUAGUAUUCAAUUGUCAGAGGUGAAAUUCUUGGAUUUAUUGAAGACUAACUACUGCGAAAGCAUUUGCCAAGGAUGUUUUCAUUAAUCAAGAACGAAAGUUAGGGGAUCGAAGACGAUCAGAUACCGUCGUAGUCUUAACCAUAAACUAUGCCGACUAGGGAUCGGAUGAUGUUAAUUUUUUAAUGACUCAUUCGGCGCCUUACG